GACGAACGCUGGCGGCGUGCUUAACACAUGCAAGUCGAACGGUGAAGCGCCUGCCUUUUUGGUAGGUGUGGAUGAGUGGCGAACGGGUGAGUAACACGUGAGUAACCUGCCCCCUUCUUCUGGAUAACCGCAUGAAAGUGUGGCUAAUACUGGAUAUUCUGGUUCUGUCGCAUGAUGGGUCUGGGAAAGAUGUUGUUUCGGUGGGGGAUGGGCUCGCGGCCUAUCAGCUUGUUGGUGGGGUGAUGGCCUACCAAGGCGGUGACGGGUAGCCGGCCUGAGAGGGUGGACGGGCACACUGGGAAUGAGACACGGCCCAGACUCCUACGGGGGGCAGCGGUGUGGAAUAUUGCACAAUGGGCGCAAGAGUGAUGCAGCGCCGCGGCGUGAGGGAUGGAGGCCUUCGGUUUGUUAUCAUCUUUCGUCAGUGAAGCAGGCCUGCCUCGUUUGUGGGUGGGUUGACGGUAGCUGGAGAAGAAGCGCCGGCUAACUACGUG
rnacentral:rRNA from 1 species